GAUGAACGCUGGCGGCGUGCCUAAUACAUGCAAGUCGAGCGAACAGACGAGGAGCUUGCUCCUCUGACGUUAGCGGCGGACGGGUGAGUAACACGUGGAUAACCUACCUAUAAGACUGGGAUAACUUCGGGAAACCGGAGCUAAUACCGUAUAAUAUCUUGAACCGCAUGGUUCAAUAGUGAAAUACGGUUUUGCUGUCACUUAUAGAUGGAUCCGCGCCGCAUUAGCUAGUUGGUAAGGUAACGGCUUACCAAGGCAACGAUGCGUAGCCGACCUGAGAGGGGGGUAGGCGACACUGGAACUGAGACACGGUCCAGACUACUAAGGGAGGCAGCAGUAGGGAAUCUGCCGCAAUGGGCGAAAGCAUGACGGAGCAACGCGGAGUGAGUGAUGAAGGUCUUCGGAUCGUAAAACUCUGUUAUGAGGGAAGAACAAAUGUGUAAGGAACUAUGCACGUCGUGACGGUACCUAAUCAGAAAGCCACGGCUAACUACGUG
rnacentral:rRNA from 1 species